CUGUUGUUUGUUCCUUUGAAUAAUAUUGUUGGUUGAGCCAGGAUUCUUAAACCUGGUGGCUACCUCCUCCUCACUAUGCGAGAUGGUAUUGCAGAAACCAGUCCCAGGUUUGGAUUGAUGGAGAAUGAUCUACGCCUGCUGGAAAAGAAUGAGAAGUGUGAGGUGACCCUGGGCCCGGUACAGUUCGAUAAUUUUGUUCUGGAUCAUCCUGGUAUUUUCUACAUGAUUAGGAAC